GGGCUCAUAGCUUAGUGGUAUAGCAUUCGGCUCUUAACCGAAAGGUCGGGGGUUCGAACCCCCCUGAGCCCA
rnacentral:tRNA from 2 species